rnacentral:rRNA from 1 species
UACAGAGGGGGCAAGCGUUGUUCGGAAUUACUGGGCGUAAAGGGCGCGUAGGCGGCCUCUUAAGUCGAACGUGAAAUCCCCGGGCUCAACCCGGGAACUGCGUCCGAUACUGGGGGGCUUGAAUCCGGGAGAGGGAUGUGGAAUUCCAGGUGUAGAGGUGAAAUUCGUAGAUAUUCGGAAGAACACCAGUGGCGAAGGCGACUCACUGGACAUGUAUUGACGCUGAGGUGCGAAAGCGUGGGGAGCAAACAGG